GUUGAUGUUUCUCUUUUCCCCUUCACGUCUCUUUUUAAAAUAAAUAUUUUUAAAAAUUUUCUUUACAUUUUAGAAUGCAAGUAAUGUGUAUUUUGUUCUCUACAUGUGCAAAUUUGAAUUUUUUUUUAACAAGGCAGGAAGAGUAAACUUAUUUAUUUCUGAGAAUGUUAAUUUACUUGAAUGUAAUUAAACCAUGAAUUUUCCUGAAUUAAAGUCUAA